UGACGCUGCCUUGCAGGGCGCGGUGCUGGCCCCCGCCGUGGACCACGCUGUCCCCCUCCAGCCCUCUGUGGUGGCCCCCCUGGCCCAGCAGCUCGGCCACCUCUCUCUGGGCAGCGCUGGCACGUACGUCCCCGCUGCCACCGCCGCCGUGCCCGGAGCCUUCAUCCCGCCGUACCCGCCGGUGCCCCCCGCCCUCCCGCUGGAGGACGGCGGAGCCGCCCCGAGCCACGGUCCCAUCGAGUCACCGUCCGAGCCCGGCGCCUUCCCCUACCCCUACCCCAAGUAGCGGCAGGGGGGGCUCGGCCCGAGGGACCCCCUCCCCAAAA